UAAAAAGCUCUGAUAUAAAACAUCAAAUUUAACUGCAAAAGUUGGAGGAGCCAACACAUAUUAGAUUAUAUAAAAAUCUUUAACUUUUCAUAAUGUUUUCGGAAAAGUUGUAGUAGUUUUCGAUUAAAAAAAAAAAAAGGUGUGUAUAUUCAAAACAAACCUGUUUGUCAAAAGAAUUGCAUCGAACAAAGUUGUUACACGAAGAAUGGAGGAAGAAAAAACUUUUUAUGGAACAUCAAAUGGAAUUUUAUUAACACAUAAUAGUUUUUAUUAAAACGACUAAUAAA